UAUUAUAAUAUAAAUACAUCUGAUGGUGAAUAAGCAACCACAGUCUUGUUUGAACCCCUGCAUGAUAUCAUAAGAUUUGACCUCUUCUGUGGACAGCCUGCACAAAUGCGACAUUACUUCUGUUUAAAAAAUGGUGUACUUUUUUAUUUUCUGCUGCAAUCACCAAAACCUUUGCGAAAAGUGCAGUUUUUCAGUUCCAAGUGGAGAAGUGAAGAUGAGCCUAAUGGGAGAGGUCGUGUCUGUAAGUUUUAGCCUACACACCGUGACAGAGUAGCUGCGUUCUCUCGCCUGCACAACUGCCUCGAAGUGUUUGAGCUCCAGGUCAUAAACAAACCACAACACAUGUCCACUGUAGCUUCACUUUUUCUUUCCUUUUUCACUUUGUUUGCCAUGUAAUUUACCCAAAAACACAGAGAAAGUGCCAUUUUUCAUCAUUUCACAGCCCUCGUCUGUCCCCAUCAAACCAGACUACGGUACCCAAUUGAUGUUUGUUUGACUUGAAGGUGACGUGUUCUGGUGUACCAGAGGAGGUGAUGUGUGGAUAAUAUUCCUUCUUAGCUAUUGUUUGCAUACACCUUGAUCAAAAUUUUGCAUCAAACCACAGAUCUGACAUGACACUCUUUCUACUAGCUCAGUGAGAUACACAAACACAGAACCAUGUUUUUUUUUAAACCACUGAGUUUAGUUACUUGACUCCAUUGCUCAUGUUUGUGUCCUGAUGUGCUGUAAUCGGUGACCUAAACCAUUCAGCUGUAACCAGGCUCUCAUUAGGGGGAUUUGAACUGAGCUUCACAUGGCAGCUAUAAAUGAAAUUUUCUUUUAACUCCACUCUUUGGCCAUUUUUUUAAUGCGCAUGUUUUGUUUGAUGUACCUUGCUGAUCCUCAGCCAGUGUAACUCUUCCACAGGUCUGUGGGUUUGAAUUUUAAGAAAUACAGGCCAAGUGGUUAAAGCGCUUGGUUUCAGUUCAGAAGGUUCCAGGUUCAAAUCCCACCCCUGCCACAUUUCUCCAUGUAAUGUGGAGUUGCAUCAGGAUGGGCAUCCGGCGUAAAACCUGUGCCAAUUCAACAUACAGAUCCACCUUGGAUUUGCUGUGGCGACCUCGAGUGCAAACAAGGGAGCAGCUGAAGGGACUUACUUACUUACAGUUUGUGUGGGAGAGAGCUGAGUUUUGUGCUGUAUCUGGAUGUAACCGCGUGUGGUCAGUAAUGCGUUAGAGGUGUUUUUGGACAUGCCUGUGUCUGCAGCCUGCAUGUUUCAGCGUUAUCUGGGUACCGAUAAGAUCAGCAGCGUCGUCCACGCACAUCUGUGUCUGUGAAGGAUCGACGCACGGCUUUGGGUCAGACAGAUACGUCUGGCUGCAUGCCCACCGCUCAAGACCAUGAUUGGCCGGUGCUGUUGGAGCGAUCGAUCUCCUGCUGGAGCGAUCGAUCUCCUGCUGGGUCAUAAGACAUCCGGUCACUGCACAGCUGGGGGAGGGCAGCAACCUAUUUAUUUUUAGUAUUUUUUGUAGUUUAUGGAUUUUUGAAACUUCAAAUGGUAAAGGCAUCAAACAAUUCAUGGUUGUUCACUGUUUUAGGUUGGGAUUAAGGGAAUGUUCAAUUUAAGAAUGGAUGGGGGGGCUGUAACUUAAAGCUGUCUGCCAGACAUGCCCCAGUGAACCCGGGUUUCCGCUGAACCAGACGCAACGCUGCUCCUGCACGUAAUGUUUGAGAUGUUUCACCGGCAGCUGCUCCUAGUUUCUGUCAACUGUUUAGGAUUUCUUUCUUUUUGUCCAAGUAUUCUGGUAUUUGAGUUUUUUUUUUGUUUUUUAAUACUGUGGAAAUAAAUAUUCAUCUUUUGUUUGGGCUUUGUUGAACAUGGGUGUGUGCACGCAGUUAUUUCAGUUGUGUCUGUGAUGGUAGCCAGCAGCGUUCAUGGCUGUUGCUUUGUACCGAACACAAUAUUUUCCACAGAUCCUACUGACAGAGGAGAACCUAAGUGAAAACAUUUGAGCAUAAUUUAGGGUUGCGGUUGGAAGUGCACCACAUUGAUGUCAUUAGUCUUCAAAGGUUUUGCUGUCAUAACAGGGUUGUGGUGGAAGUCUCUGUCUGUAUGGGUGCACAAGAGGAUGUGCUAACAAUCAAAUUAUUUUUUAUUUAUUGGUGACCUGGGAUGGAGAAGAGAACUCGUGUCCUCUCAAAGACAGCCUCUUCACUGUCCUGGGUUUCACACGAUACAGUAGCCAUGUUUUCUGUUUGUAUCAUGCAUGGCCUCCUUGUGCCCCCCAUGUGCAUCAUGAGGGCAGACAUUUUAUUACCUCAUUAGGGUUAAUGGUUGUUAAUGUUUAUCCAACCCUGAAUUCCACAACAUUAAUUUACCUCCUUUUUUUUCAUCUGUGUCACGACACCGUCGGAUGGUGCUGCACUGGGAAACCAAAACCCACGGGGAAAUAAACGGCUCUAGGUUCAGAUUGCAAAUCUCUACAUCUGAUCAGAUUAGUCUUCAGUGUUUUGCUGGAAUGUUCUGCUCUGAUGUUGCUGGAGGGUUGUUUUUUUUUUUCUCCAUUUUUUGUGUGUUCUCUCUUAAGCUUUCCCUUUGUAUGCAGGUAGGGUGUAAUGCAGACUUGCAGAUGUUGAACUGAUGGGAUGAUUCACCAUCGUACACAAUACACACACAGAUAUAAACUUCUGAUUUGUUUCUUUUUUAACCUUUUCUUUUUUCUUCAUCUUUAGGCUGUUAAUUAUUUGGCACUGCUCCAAACUCCAAAGUGAACUCACACUACUUGAAUGCAUUCCCUUCCCCCUUCAUUCACCCCCACAAAUCACAAAUUCCAUUCCAUGAAUCCCACCUAUUGGAAGCUUUUGUGUAACAUAAUCGGUCAGUAAAUGUAUAAUUUAUAUUGUAUGCGUUAUUUCUUUCUCCGUGCCUCUCAAAGUGUAUUCCAGUCUUUGCUCUGCAGGUAAAAGCCAAAGAAGCAUAGCUAAAUAUUUCUGUCUGCAGUCGGAACAUCCUGUCACAUAACUUUCUAACCUUUAUGGCCCCUCAGCCAGAGCCCUUGCAGCUGCAUGCGCACACACACAUACACACAUCCUUGUGAUGUAGAACAUGCAGCAGUUUACCUUGUUGUAACUGGUAGUGGGGGUGGGAUUCCUCCUGUUAUAGUUUCAUGUGAAUGUGGUAUUUUGACUUCAUGGAGCAGCAGUCUUCAGGACUCAUCUCUCCUUGUUUUUGUUCUCGGCUUCU